GGGAGACUUGGUGGAAAAGAGGAGAAAGCCAAAAAAAAACAGACAAAACAAGAAGGACGAUGGGGAAAGGAUGGCGAUAAUAUUCAUAAUAAGUGACUCCACACCCACAGAAGGAGAGGGGGAUGAAGAAACCUGCCAGGAGGGUGCUUCCCGCCAGUAUCUGAUGAAGGUGCUGAGAAACAGUGAUCUAGAAGAAUGACUCUCAAGGCACACGGAACAUCAGGAGCACCGGUGAGCGUUACAAAGUGCCCCUA
rnacentral:lncRNA from 1 species